rfam:Olsenella sp. oral taxon 807 strain F0089, complete genome.
AGACAUCUUCAGGGCGGGGUGCGAUUCCCCACCGGCGGUUACAGCCCGCGAGCUCCCAAACGAGCCGAUCCGAUGGAACCUCGGAGCCGACAGUAUAGUCUGGAUGGAAGAAGAUGCAU